GAUGAACGCUGGCGGCGUGCUUAACACAUGCAAGUCGAACGGAAAGGCCCAAGCUUGCUUGGGUACUCGAGUGGCGAACGGGUGAGUAACACGUGGGUGAUCUUCCCUGCACUUCGGGAUAAGCCUGGGAAACUGGGUCUAAUACCUGAUAGGAGCACGUCUUGGAGGUUGUGGUUGAAAGUUUUUGCGGUGUGGGAUGAGCUCGCGGCCUAUGAGCGUGUUGGGGGGGUAAUGGCCAACCAAGGCGUCGACGGGUAGCCGGACUGAGAGGGUGUACGGCGACCCUGGGACCGAGGGAAGGCCCAGACUCCGAAGGGAGGCAGCUGUGGGGAAUAUUGAACCAUGCGUGCCAGCCUGAUGAAGAGAGGCUGCGUGGGGGAUGACGGUCUUAGGGUUGUAAACUGCUUUUGAUAGGGACGAAGCGUUUUGUGACGUUACCUGCAGAAGAAGCACCGGCUAACUACGUG
rnacentral:rRNA from 1 species